rnacentral:rRNA from 1 species
UACGUAGGGCGCAAGCGUUAUCCGGAAUUAUUGGGCGUAAAGAGCUCGUAGGCGGUUUGUCGCGUCUGCCGUGAAAUCCCCGGGCUCAACCCGGGAACUGCGUCCGAUACUGGGAGGCUUGAAUCCGGGAGAGGGAUGUGGAAUUCCAGGUGUAGCGGUGAAAUGCGUAGAUAUCUGGAGGAACACCGGUGGCGAAGGCGGCAUCCUGGACCGGUAUUGACGCUGAGGCGCGAAAGCCAGGGGAGCAAACGGG